UGGAUUUAGGGUAUGGAAAUAUUUGGGAAGCCCCUUAUGCAGCCUAAUACAAUGAGAAUGUCAAAGAGCCCCUCAUCUGAAGAGGAGAGAGCAGCCUGCCCUAAGGGGCAGACCUGGGUUAAUUUACCACAUGGAAGGCGCUGGAGAAGAUAAAGCAUCAUAUUCAGAGAAUGGUGAUAAAGUUAAUACUGUCCUACCUCAGGGGCACAUCAACUUCCUUGCCUCAUGUAGUAAUUUAGUCCAUGGAGAUCUAGAUUGUCUUUCUUUUCCAUAAGACAUCACACCAGGAAUAGUAUUCUGAUUGAACCCAGUGAAUGAGAGUUUGCGUGUUAGAGGAUGGGAAAUCAAAAUUCGCUGGUCUUUUGCCUCUGAUAUUUCUGGGGCAUGUCAAAAUAUCCCUUCUAAGGUGAAGAAUAAGUUGUUGCAUCUCGUCCUCUUACAAGGCAUGAUACCUAGUGGGUUUCUGGAUUUUGGAGACUUUCCUCAGUAUGUAUGACUCCAGCCUGUUUACUGAGUGACCCAUAAAGUUGCUGGUUUGGAAUUGGGUCUAGAACAAGAAGAGGCCCUGCAGCAGGUCCAGGACACUGUGCAGACUGCUCUGCCACUUGGGCCACAUGAUCUAAUGGUGCUUAAAGUAGCAAUGGCAGAUAAAAAUGCACCUUUGAAGCCUUUGGCAGCCCUUUUAUGUGAGUCACAGCACAAGCCUUCAGGCUUUUGGAGUAAAGUCUUGUCAUCCUUUAUGGAUAAUUAUUCUCCUUGAGAAGCUUGCUUGCUGAUAGGUCUUAGUAGAGACUGGAUGCCUACAUGUGGUUCACCAAGGUACCAUGUGACCUGCCCAUCAUGAACUGCAUGUUGUCUGACUCACAGAACCAUGAAGUUGGGUGUGCACGCAGCACACUGUAUCAUCAAAUGGAGCUAGUAUAUAGAUCAGGCUUGAGCUGGCCCUGAAGGCACAAGAAGGUACAUGAGGAAAUGGCCCAAAGUGUUUGACUUCCACUCUUACAUUAUUCUCCUGCAGCUCACAUUUUUGGCCUUGUGGAGAGUUCCCUAAAAUCAGUUGGCUAAAUAAGAGAAAAUGUGUGCAUGAUUUACAGAUAGUUCUGCACAGUAUUCAAGCACCACAAUACACAAGAUCAGUGCAGACCCUUCCUUGGUGGUAAAAGGAAAUCCUUCCAUAAGGCAAAACUUUGAGGAGUGAACCUUUUGCUCAUUUUGCUUGGAAAGAGGAUGGCCAGAUGUACAAUUACAUACCAAUUCAUGGACUGUGACCAUGGUUUGGCUGGAUAGGUAGGGACUUGGAAGGAAUAUGAUUGGAAAAGGAGUCUUUAGAAGAGGUAUAUAGAUAGACCUCUCUAAAUGGGUUAAAAAAAAACAUGAAAAUGCUUGUGUCCCAUGUGAAUACUUAGCAACUGGUGGAUUUAAUAAUCAAGAGGACGGGCUUACAUAUUCUGUGGAUACUAGUCAGCCUUUUCCCCAGCCCCUUGAGUCAUCACCCAAUGGACCCAUGAACAAAGUGGCCAUGGUAGCAGGGAUGGAGGUUAUGACUGGGCUCAGCAACAUUGAUUUCCACUCACCAACACUGACCUGGCUAUAGUCACUGCCGAUGCCUACUCUGUCAACAGCAGAUACCAAAACCAAUUCCCCAGUAUGGCACCCAUCUAAGGUGGUCAGCCAGCUACCUCUUGGUAGGUUAAUUCACUGGACCACUUCCAUCAUGGAAUGGACAGUGUUUUGUUCUCACUGAAAUAGAUACUUCAUCUAGAUAUGGAUUUUCCUUUCCUUUAAGCAAUGCUUCUACCAAAACUACCAUCUGUAGACCUACUGAAUGCCUUAUCCACUGGCAUCAUAUAAGGAUUGCAGUUAGCAUGGCCUCUGAUCAAGGAACUCGUUUCACACCAAAUGAAGUGUAGUAAAAGGCCCUUACUCAUGAAAUUCACUGGUCUUACCAUGUUCUCCAUCAUCCUAAACAGGUGGCUUGAUAGAACAAUGGAAUGGCCUUUUGAAGAGAGUCAGGUAUAGCACAAGGUGGUGGCAGUACUUGUAGGGUUGGGGCAGUGUUCUCUGGGAGGAUGUAUAUGUUCUAAUUCAGCAUCCAAUAUAUGGUGCUGUUUCUCCCAUAGAGUUGAUGAACCCAGGAAUCAAGAGCUGGAAAUUAAAUCAAUACCAUUCACUAUUGCACCUCUUGACUCAUAGCAAAAUGUUUACCUCCUAUCCUGACUUUGUGCUCUGCUAGUCUAGAAGGCUUAGUUCCAAAAUUAGGAAUGCUUCCACCAGGAAACACAUUAAUGAUUUCAUUGAACUGGAAGUUAAGACUGCCACCCAGCCACUUUGGGCUCCUCGUGCCUCUGAAUUAACAGGCAAAGAAGGGAGUUACUAUCCUGACUGGAGUGAUGAUCCCAACUACCAAAGAGAAAUGGAGCAGCUACUAUAAAAUGGAGAUAAGGAAGUCUGGAGUACACCAGAUCUGUUUGGGAAACUCUUAGUACUACCAUGCCCUGUGGUUAAAGCCAAUAGUGUUCUUUCUCUAGCAACAUAAUUUGAUCUCUUCCUUCACAUUCUUUGCUGAAAUAUGCACUAAGUAUGUAAGAUCAGAAUCAUUAUGAUGGGGUUUCUCUCUCUGACAGGAGAUCCUGUCCUUUCAAAAAUUCACAGAGUUCCAUCAGGGCCUUAAAGAUAAAAUUUUACACUCCUUUCAUUUGUCUGUUAUUUUACUGUUCUGCAUCUACCUUUAUGUAUCUUUUUAUGCUUAGAGUCAAAGAUCACAAGAUGUGAUCUUAUUUGAAUUCUGGGAUUGGGAAUCAGUCCCUGGUAGAUCUCUUAUAAUGCAUUCAGAUUCUAAAGAAUCCAGCAUAAGCAGAACUGCUGUUCAGCUGAAAAGCAUAAAUAGGGCUGCCUUAAUUGUUGUUGACUGACAUCUGUCCUACUGGUUGGUGGCUGAGCCAUACAGAUUCCUAAACAUUUUGAAUAUCACCCCUGCAUAUGGGUCCUCACAGUGAAAAUAUGUACAACUCUAUUACAUUGAAAGCGUAAUAGUAGCUCUGUUAUUUUGUAAAACACUGAAAACCUCAUAGAUAUCCAAUGUCAAUUGGCCAGUUAUACGUAGUAUGUAUUUCUGAGAUACCACCAUUUAUUACCAAGAUCUCUGUAUAAAUGGUUGAGUGGUAUUAAUGGCAUUGAAAUCAUUGAAGAGGCUUCCCUCCUGGGCUCGCAGGCCCCUGUGCUUCUAGAGGAAGAUAGAAUGCAGCCAAGUUGGUUCCACUCUGUGAGCAGAGUGCCCAGGAUCAUACUACAGUCUCCCUUGGGAGAGCUCCAUGACAGCCCAAGGGUACCCAAGGAGAAGUUCUUAUGAACACCAGUGACCUUUAUUUUUAUUGAGUGUCAUUUCAGCACCUAACUUGGACAGAGUAUUUGAACAUAAGCAAGCAGUUACAGAACUGCCAUUUGGGUUUACAUCUCAAGUGCACUUACACUUCAUAAAGGUAUCUAUUCUAUUAUCACAGAAUUUUUUUUUAUUGGAUUCCCUUUCUAGUUUUUUAGAAAAAGUAAAGAAGGAAGAUGGAUAAAAUGUGACUAAUGUGGGUAAUUAUCUUUACAAUUCUCUCCAAUACAGUACUCUCAAAUUAUUUUUUAUCGUUUUUCUUUUGGCCCUUUGAGAAACAAAUCUCUUCAGCAAUUUGAAUUUAUUGAAAAUCUUUAGACAUCAGCCAGCCCUUUCUAAAGAGCGAGAGCAUCGUUACGGUUUUUCUCAAGCAAAGAAGACGUGCUCAAUUUUAAUUACACAAAGCUUUUGUUGAUUUGGCUGACUUAAUAUCUUAAGCCUUGAUUAACUUUGGGAACUCAUAAUCAUCACUGUUCAGACUUGGAGAAGUGGAGGAGACCCAAAGAGUUCAGCUACCAAGGGUGAUCAUCAUUAGAGGAGGGGGAGGUGCUCCAAAGUGACAAAGACAUGGAUUAAGAUAGGGAACCCAGUGGCUUUUCGUCGCUAUUGAGAAUACUUAGGGUGCUUAUUGAAAUCAAAGCAGAUGUAAGUAAUCAGAGAGUAAGAGUUUAUUAAUAAAGAACUUCUUUCACAGGUGUACUGCCAUAAUAAGAAUGAUUUCAGUAACAUCCAUUUAUCAAGUACAUACUGCAGGGCUUCUCAAAGUGUCACUAAGAAAUGGAGCCUAUGGAGCUACCAUGGAACCCCCUUAAAACACACCACCCUCAGUUUAUCUGACUUGAAAGUCUGUGUUUUUCCUGUGUUAUUUCCUAUUUUACUUUCCUUGAAUGCCUGGCUUCAAUGCAGUGACAAUGCCAGAUCUUUAACCCACUAAGCCACAAAGGAAAUCCUAUUUCCCUUUUGUAACACAAGAAUCUUGGCCUUACCAAUCUGCAGCAAGGAAACAUGGUCCCAUAUUUAUAUCCUAAUUUAUACUCUUUCACUUGCCAGAUGAUUAAGAAGUCCAGGAUUUCCCCAGAUUUCUCCUCUCCAAAUAUUCUCUAGAACUCUCAGAUUUGCUUAUGACUUAAUGAAUCAGCUCUCCCUGCCUGCUGUUGCCUGCUGGAAAGUUGAGAACUCAGAAAUGUUGUUAAGAUCAGACUUCACUGUCCUUUGAUGCUGAGAAGACCUGGUGUGUUUGUCUUAGAUAUCUCCAGCUAAGUGGCUUUACACCUUAUAUAAGUGGAAUUAUACAGUAUUUGUCCUUUCAUGUCUGGCUUAUUUCACUUGGCAUAAUAUGUUCAAGGUUUGUGCAUGUUGUAGCAUGUAUCAGAAUUUAAUUCCUUUUUAAGGCUGUAUAAUAUUCCACUAUAAGUAUAUACCACAUUCUCUUUAUUCAUUCAUAUGCUGAUGGACAUUUGGGUCAUUCCCACCUUUUGGCUAUCGUGGAAAAUGCUGCUAUGAACAUUGAUGUUCAAGUAUCUGAGUUCCUGCUUGUAAUUUCUUUGGAUAUAUACCCAGAAGUGGAAUUGCUGGAUCAUAUGGUAAUUCAGCUUAACUUUUUGAGGAACUGCCCUAUCAUUUUCUAGAGUGGCUGCCCCAUUUUAUGUUCCCACCAGCAACACUCAAAGAUUCCAGUUUAUCCACAUCCUCACCAAUACUUGCUGUUUUCUGUUUUUGUUUUUCUAAAAAUAACUUCCAUUUACAUUCCAAUGAGUGGAAAGUGGUAUUUCAUUGUAGUUUUUUUUCCUAAUGACUAACGUUCCAUGGGUCCCAAGGCUAUUGAUGGUGGUGCCCUUGAUUAGGAAUGCUUGUGGCACUCACCAGGCACACCUUAUUCUUAGCGAGUUCUGCAGACAUUUCCCAUUGGAACCUCUUUUUAUACCUGGGCCAGCCCUACGGUUCUUAUGAUCACAGGAUGUACUUCAGCAAAAACCUUCAGGGAACUUCAAGGAACAUAUUUUUAAUUCGUAAGUCCUGGAGUUCUUGGAGCACAACCAAGGGGCAUAGAGAAAGUUCAGCCCUCGGGUUCUGCCUCUAUUAAGAUGUGAGAGUGAGGUGCGUAGAGUUUCCUGGAUUCACUCUUUAUCAGCUAAUUGAAAGCAUAAGAGCAGGAAUCAGAGCACCAGAAGAGAGAAGUGGGGUCACUCGAGAGAAUAACAUAGUUAUCUCAAUUCCCCGGGGCUUUCCAAAAGGGGACGUUCAUGGGUGGGGGAAGCCUAGUUCCUUAUCUGGUUGGUUUGCUAGUAACUGUGUCAUACAGUUGGCAAUAUGUUUAUUUAGGAUGGAUGCCUCUUGAAGUAAUUGCUUCUGGCAAUUGAAAGCUUAAUGUCAGGCAUUUACACUACACCUAGUGAUGCAGAGUAUCUGUGCUUAUUGACCUGCGUAUCCCUAUCCCUGUCUGUCUGUCUGUCUGGCUGUUGGUCUAUCUAUCUAUCUAUCUAUCUAUCUAUCUAUCUAUCUAUCUAUCUAUCUAUCUAUCUAUCUAUGUAUCUAUCUAUCUAUCUAUCUAUCUAUCUAUCUAUCUAUCCAUCUAUCCAUCUACAAGAAAUGUCUAUUCAAGUCCUUUGCCCAUUUUUGAAUUGGGUUGUUUGUUUUUAAUUGUUGUUGUUGAAUAAUUUACAUUCUUAACAAGUUCCCACAUGAUGAUGAUCUGAGAAUCACACUUUGAAAAACUAUUGCUUUAGAUUAUAUAUGUCAAAUGAUGGAAUGCCAGGCUUAUUAGACAAGCAAAAUUUACUUGGUGUAUAGUUUUAAUCACUUCUUAGGUACCAGACUUUUGAUAACUGAUCAUCUGUGGCUUUCUUGGGAUUUUGCUAUACUACCUUGUUCCCCAUGCAGCAACACUGAAAGUAAAGGUAACCUUUGAGAUUGAAAAAUCCCAGUACUAUGUCACCCAACACCUUCAACCCCCCCCCCCCAGAGAUUGUAUCUGGAUGUUAUAAUGUUCUGUAAAUACACAUUUACUAAAGCUGGACCUGAAAAAAUGUUAUUACUGACCUGAAGAUUUUGGAAACAUGUUUACAUAUCAUCAUGAAGCCUCAAAACUCUUGAUGAGUUGGAAUCAUUUUAUACGUGUGUUUUUUUCUUUCUUUAAGAAUAAUUAUCUUAAAGAACUCUGCUUAUUAGACUGAGUUAGAGGAAUUAUCAUUGGCCAUGUGAAUAUGUAAUUACCAUGAUUUAUUUGCCAAGUACUGAACAUAAGUAAAUUUCCACAUUUUUAUUGAAUUUGAGAAGUUAAUUAGUAUGACUAUUAAGCAAAACCCAGACAUCAUUAUACAUGAAAUAUUUCCUUAUAAUUCUAAUAAAUUGAUUUCAAAACCUAUUAGGCUUGAAAUUUCAUUCAACGUGCCUACACAUUUUUUUCCCUUUGGUUAAUGGAUCUCUAUACUUAUCCUUCUCACUAGAAAUAUUCUAGGUCUAUUUAAAAGAUUUCAGUAUUUCUUGCUGGACGUACAUAAUUGGGUUUGUUUUCUGUGAAAAUCUGUGGAAAUGUCCUUUGAAGUUAAUGGAAAAGUGUAAUUUUUCUUUUUAUUGUUUCUUGGUAUUUUUGUAGCACUUCUUAUAUCCAGAGUACUGUGUAAUCACUAUUUCCUCUUGAGCUGUUUUUAUGUUAUUCAUUAUAAUGUCCUUUUCUUACAAUAUGUGAUUUACUUGUGUUAUUGCCUUUCCAUGUAGUUCAAGGGAGAAAGGGAAUAAGAAGGGCUCUUGUAAUACAUUGGGUUAGGCGUCCCCAAGAUCACCUCCAGGUUUGAUUAUUUACUGGGAAGACUCAUGGAACACAAUGUUUAUUCAUACUCACAAGUAUGAUUUAUUACAGCAAAGGAUGCAAAGCACAAUCAGCAAAGGCAAAAGGAAUAUGGGAUAAAGUCUGGGGGAAAUCAGGUGGUAGUUUCCAAGGGUUCCCUCACAGUGGAGUUGCAGAGUAUGUGUCUAAUUACCCCAACAGCAAGUUGAGAUGGCAUUUGCAGAAUGCUGUCUGCCAGGGGAGCUCAUUAGAGACUCCAUGCCCACGGUUUUUAUUGAGAGCUGAUCACAGAGGCAACCUCUGCCUGGCAUGAACCAUAUUCCAGACUCCCAGAAGUGUUCAGGUUGUAAUGGUUAUCUUCCGGUGUGUCUAGCCUGCUGGCCCACCCUGUGGAUUGUGGACUUGCCAGCCUCCCCAUAAUCGAGGGAACAAAUUCCUUAAAAUCUCUCCCCUCUCCCCCCAUCUCUAUCUCGUAAUGUAAAAAUAGCACAGGGAAUGCUGUAGCUUGUUUAUGGUUUUAUAUGUAACAAGAAUGUUCCUCCAACAUUGUGGACACCAGAAACACCCCCCCCCCCCGCCGGUUUAUAAACAAGGUAGACAUGCACAAGGAUCCAUCAAAGAGACAAGGAAACCCUUCCAAUCUAUCUCAACCUUAGACUGCAUUACCCUGGUAACGAAGUUAGUGUCAAGAAAAUGUUGAUCCAUCUUUGUAGUCCUCAGAUCUAUGCUGCUUGUGGUUUCUGUCCUAUGAUUUUUCAGCAGAUACCGUAACUUUCUCUUUUAACUUCUCAGGAAAUGCCAUGCUUGAAUGUGCCCUGAGACAUCAAGCAUGACAAGAACUAGCGCCCAAGAACUCAUCUGAAUAAAAAUGGUCUGACAGUAGGUGCUCCUGGGGCUCACCCCUCUCCUGCAAGCCAUCAACAGGGAAGAUGCUCCCAGGAUGGAGAGAUGGUAACUUUCCAGGCAUAACUGCUAUUUUUAGCAUCUGUACUUGUUUACUCAGUAGGUCCAGAUAAAGGGCAGACAUGGAAAGCAUGGGGAAAACACACGUUUUAAUUCUUUGCCAUCUCAGGCUUUCAUUUUUUUUCUCAUUAUUUUGACAGUGUCUUGUCUAGACUCCUGUGUCUUCUCUCCCUUCCCCAUUUUCAAUUUAUUUCAUAUCUUGGUAUAAGAUUUUUUUCCCAUAAACAUGAAUCUGGUCAUAUUGUCUCAAUGAGCCCCAACUCAGUCUCCACAGUCUACUAAAUAAAUUCUCAAGUUCUUGGCAUUGCAUUAAGAGAAUGUCACAGUGUGAUCUAAAUUUAUGGUCUCAGCCUCAUUUCUAGUCACCUCCCUAUCAAGGGUGAG
rnacentral:lncRNA from 1 species